UACGUAGGGACCAAGCGUUGUUCGGAUUUACUGGGCGUAAAGGGCGCGUAGGCGGCAAUUCAAGUCAUCUGUGAAAUCUCCGGGCUUAACUCGGAACGGUCAGAUGAUACUGCUUUGCUAGAGUGCAGGGAAGGGCAAUCGGAAUUCUUGGUGUAGCGGUGAAAUGCGUAGAUAUCAAGAGGAACACCUGAGGUGAAGACGGGUUGCUGGGCCGACACUGACGCUGAUAGCGCGAAAGCCAGGGGAGCAAACGGG
rnacentral:rRNA from 1 species